rnacentral:rRNA from 1 species
AUACGGAAGGUCCGGGCGUUAUCCGGAUUUAUUGGGUUUAAAGAGAGCGCAGGCGGAGAUGCAAGCGUGACGUCAAAUUUCGGGGCUCAACCCCGUCUCGCGUCGCGAACUGCGUCCCUUGGUUGCGGGAAGGGGAGGCGGAACUCGUGGUGUAGCGGUGAAAUGCAUAGAUAUCACGAAGAACUCCGAUCGCGAAGGCAGCCGCCGGCCCGUCAACGACGCUCAUGCUCGAAGGUGCGGGUAUCAAACAGGAUUAGAUACCCUGGUAGUCCGCACAGUAAACGAUGGACACCCGCGGUUUGGCCUGUAUGGCUGAGCCGCCAAGCGAAAGCGUUAAGUGUCCCACCUGGGGAGUACGCCGGCAACGGUGAAACUCAAAUGAAUUGACGGGG